rnacentral:misc_RNA from 1 species
CUCUUUUAGCAUCAAGUUUUCCUUCUGUACACUCUGUUCUGUAUCUUCAGCAGCAUGCUUACUGAUAGACCUCUCCAAAAUCUCCAGCACCCUUGAGGCACGGGCUCUGGCAUCAUCAACACUCGUAGCACUCAUCAUUUCCCUCACAAACAAGUCCACCCACUCUGCACCAUUCACAGGAAGGUUGCUUGGCAUUGAUUUAUUGUCAGAAGCCGUAGCAUCUCCAUCAUUGGGCAGUGUACCUUGCUCCACAUUUAUGCUAGCUUCUUCAGCAGAACCUGAAUUAUGCUCUGCAGAUUCUAAACAGUGCUCAUUCAGGCUCUUGAUGGCAGAGUCCAAAUCAUUACAAGAUUCUUCCAGUGCUCCCUCAAGAAGCAGAGAAUCGAGGUGCGGGAAAAGAACUUUGAGCUGAUGGAGAGGCGAGGGAGGAGAGAAGCGAACAGGGGAAGUAGAAGAGGAACUGCAGCGCAGCCUUUUGGAAACGGAAGGCGAGGGAAGGUCCUCCAGAAAGAAGGAUCUCUUGCUUCCGCAAACUACCGCUGACAUUUCCGGCAAAUUCUAGGGUAGGCUGAUCGAGUUUGGCUUGUGGAUUAGGUCUGUUGGUUCUGCUUUUGGG